CCUACGGGAGGUAGCAGUAGGGAAUAUUGGUCAAUGGGGGAAACCCUGAUCCAGCGACGCCGCGUGAGGGAAGAAGGUUUUCGGUAUGUAAACCCCUAUUAGCAGAGAAGAUAAUGACGGUAUCUGACGAAUAAGCCCCGGCUAACUACGUGCCAGCAGCCGCGGUAAUACGGAGGGUGCAAGCGUUAUCCGGAUUCACUGGGGGUAAAGAGCGCGUAGGCGGGAUGGCAAGUCUGAUGUGAAAUAGUGGGGCUUAACCAUAGGACUGCAUUGGAAACUGUUAUUCUGGAGUACGGGAGAGGUAGGUGGAAUUCCUGGUGUAGGGGUAGAAUGCGUAGAGAUUAGGAGGAAUA
rnacentral:rRNA from 1 species